UUUCUCUCAAAUAUUUCUCUCUCUACAACUUGAAGAAUAAGAAAGAGUUGGAAAUAGAUCAAGGAAAUUUUUCAGAUCCUCAAGAAUUUUGUGUGCUUUGAUAUCAUGGUGACAUCCGGCAACAAAUGUUGUCAGGUCAUUAAAAGAAAGUAUUAAGACACUAGAUAAUAGGCUUAUCACUCCUGGGGGAGAUCCCAAAUGGUACAGGCCAGGCGAUGUUUAAUAACUUUGAGACUAUUUCUACUUGGGAGCCAAGACACAAUCAAGUCAUUUCGACCACAUUUGAGAGGAAUUCAUCCGCCAGACUGUCUGUCUUGCUAACGAAAUAUUGAAAUGAUGGUGAACCCCUAAAUUGGAUGUUGUCGCAUGUUCAUGCUAAAUUGGGUAUGUAUUCGGUAGGAGAAGUAGGUUGCUUCCACCCUCUAACUUCAUCUAUCCUGGCUGGAUCUACUCUAAUACCCUCCUUGGAUACCGCGUGUCCCACGAAGGCCACAGAACUAUACCAGAACUCAAAUCUUGAGAACUUGGCAUACAACGUCUCUUCGCUCAAUAUUUGAAGUACAAUGCUCAAGUGUCAUACAUGGUCCUCCUCAGUCUUGGAGUAAACCAAUAUGUCAUCGAUGAAAACAUUCACAAAAGAAUCAUGGUAUGGUUUAAACACCCCAUUCAUCAACUUCAUUAAUGUUGCAGGGGCAUUAGUCAACCCGAAGGACAUCACUAGGAACUUAUAAUGUCCAUACUGUGUCUGAAAAGUUGUCUUAGGGAUAUUUAAUGCCCUAAUCUUAAAAUGAUGAUACCCGGACCUCAAAUAUAUCUUGGAGAACAAUGAUUAUCCUUGUAGAUUAUCAAAUAAUAUAUAAAUAGUCACGUCCGAGGA